rnacentral:miRNA from 1 species
UAUAGGUCUGUGUUGUGAUGUG